GCUAUGAGAUAAUGUGAAGUCCAUAUUUUCCAACAGUUUGUCGUCGAUUGCUCAAUUUUGUGAUGCGUGUUCUUUCUGGGCGUUCUUUUUUUUUUUUUUGUGCAGAAACAUAUUCAUAGGAGGCUUGGCGAAGACCACCACCUUAGCAGCCCAGUGAUUGAGCGAAGGAGAAGAGGACGGAUUUGGGUCGGGGUUUGUUUUGGCUUCCUUUCUUUUGAUUUAAAAAGCUUCCAUUUGUCUCGUGGAAUUUUUAUUUUUAAUCUUUUAUUAAUUGAAUUCCAGCCAUCAAGGGGUACUCUGUGAUUCAAAGGCAGGAUCUGAUGCUUCGGACAGUAUCUUAACUAGGUGUGCUCUUUGAGAGAAACUGGGUUUAUAUCUAUCUCUCUGAUUCUUCUCUAUAAUUCAUGUAAUUGAACUUUGUGUAUUGAUUUCCGUGGUUUGAGCAAUGGCAGUGUUGGACGAUGGGAAUCAGACGCAGGGGAACAGUUUCAUAUAUGUGACUUUUGAUUUUCGAUUGUAAUGUUUAUUAGGUUUUAUUUUUUCCAUUAGUGUUUC